CAAGGUCCAAGCAUAGGAAUGAUUGAUUUCAGUUUUUGCUAUUUGCCACCUGCCUGAAAAUAGGAUCCCAAUUGGUCGAUUUCGCGUGAAGAGCAACGACAUAGCUCCGAGGCUGAGACAGGGGCGAGGACCUCGCUAGGGGCGAGGCAGGGGGGUGGAGGAGAACGUAUCCGGUGAAACGACCGAAUUGGUGCACCAGAUGCACCAGCUAUGUAUGGGCCGUUGGAUUCGAAAGAAAGGGACAUGAUUCAGUGCGAUGACGGGCCUGAUGGUACAUUUGCAGACCAGUCCUUGCAGCUCAGCUAAAUCCAACGAAUUGGCCUCCCCGUACUCAGAUCGUCUUCCUCCCCUUUGCCAGAUUCUGUACCAGUACAUCCUCUUGAAGCUAGGGUUAAGGUCCAGCGAGCUCAAAGAUUGAUCUCAGAGCUUAACGAAACGCGGCUGUCUCUCCCUCUUUUGUACCACUCAGGCGAAUUAGGGUUAUUAAAUUUCGACGGUCUCUCUCAAAAAUCCGCCGCCGGCGCCGCCGCCGCCGUCAGCACUAUCCAACGAUAGCAGCUCAAGGAUGUAGGUCAUUACGGAGUCUCAUUGCCCGGAGCCGGUAAAUCUGUUGAAGAGCCUGAGCUAUGACUGGGUAAUCUUCAGAGGAGUCAUCUUCAUAGGUCUCCAAGAUGGCAUUGAUGAAACUGAUAAUUUCACCUCUCAUACUAGUCCAGAUCGUGUAUGGCUGUCUCAGGCUUCAGUUUUUGUAGCACCAUGUAAUCAUCAAGAAUGUACAUUUGCUAGAAAAUCUUGUAUGCAGGUUUUCUGUAGUUUACAUGAGUGGUUGUUGUACAAUAUACAGAUGCUUGUGUUGUUCCGAUGUGAAAGAUGUGAUGUUCUUGCAUAGAAGCAUCUAAAUAAAAUGUAUUCAGAUA